rnacentral:rRNA from 1 species
GACGUAGGGCGCGAGCGUUGUCCGGAAUCAUUGGGCGUAAAGAGCGUGUAGGCGGCCCGAUAAGUCCGCUGUGAAAGUCCAGGGCUCAACCCUGGGAUGCCGGUGGAUACUGUCGGGCUCGAGUCCGGAAGAGGAGAGUGGAAUUCCUGGUGUAGCGGUGAAAUGCGCAGAUAUCAGGAAGAACACCCGUGGCGAAGGCGGCUCUCUGGGACGGUACUGACGCUGAGACGCGAAAGCGUGGGGAGCGAACAGG